AAACUCCAGUGUGUAAUCUCAUUACUCUCCCUCGCUCUGUCAACCUAGAGUGCACAGUUGCUUACAGCCUACAGCUGCCAGAGCGCUGAGUGUCCCUCCAGCUCAUGAGGUCACCUCCUGCAGUGUCAUAACCCAUACUGGAGAGUUGUUGGUAGCCCAGGAGUAGUUGGGACAGCCCAGACCAGAUCUGGCCAACAGUCUCACCUUCCCAGGCUGGCUGCUCCACCAAACUACAGCAGUCUUAGAAAACCUAAUGAGAGCCAGUUGUAGUGGCCGCUGGCAAACUUCCUCAGAGUCGUUGAUUGGUCAGUGGCCGAGAGCUGUAGCCAAUCAGCGCGGUGUUUGGGCCCGCAUUUCGGACCAAAGGUCCGAGUAGGCGUCUGGCGGGCACAGUGGCCUGCAGAGACUCAAGGUAUGGAGGGCAGAGCCAGGGAGGGGUGAGCAUGUCUUGGGACCGGACAGCCAGGCGUCUGGCACCGCCAUCACCGCUAUCGCUGCUCCUGGUGCUGGUGCUGCUGUCACGAGCCGGGACUCUGCAUCCUGAAUAGCUCUUUCCUUACGGGGAGUCGUGGGGAGACCGGCUGCUGCAGGAGGGCGACGUUGAAAGCUCCGCGGCUGUGAAGCUAGCAGUACGUAGAAGUAGCUUCUAUGGUGUCCAGUUCAGCAACCUCUACGUGAGCACCAAUGGGAUCAUCUCCACCCAGGACUUACCCAGGGAGACUUAAUAUGUCGUUGAUGAUUUUCCUACUGACUUCCCAGCCAUCGCCCCAUUCCUGGCUGACAUCCACUCGAGUCACAGCAGUGGCCGGAUCCUGUAUGGAGGACACCUCCUGGGCUGUGCUGAGUCUGGCUGCUUGCUACCUGUGCACAGGCUUCCCCCCUACCCACUUCUUCCUGGCCACCUGGGAGCAAGUGGGCGCCUAGGAGGAGGACAGGCUUGGUUGGGGCUGAGUGGUCUGGAGAGCUGAACACUUUCCAGGCCGUUCUGGCAUCCGAUGAAUGUGAUUCCUAUGCCCUCUUUCUCUAUGCUGCCAGUGGUCUUCAGUUUUUGUAACUCACCCCAAAGAAUCCUACAGUGUCAAGCUGCAGCUUCCUGCUAAGGUGGGAUUCUGCCAAGGGGAAGCACAUGACGUGAAGAGAAAAGCCGUGUAUUUCAGCCUGACUAACAGUGAGCAGUCGGUGAAGAAUCUCUACCAGAUAUGGAGACUUCGAUGAUUUUAAUCUGGAGGAUGCACUGAAAGAAACUUCCUCAGUAAAGCGUGACUCAAACCAACAAGUCCACCAAGCAAACACAAGUGGUCGGCCAUGCACCACACUGACAAUCUUGCCUUCAGAAAAGUACACGCAUAUGAGACUAGCUGUGCCUCCAUCUACCUGUUUGUUCUGUUGUGCAAGGCUUGUGUCGUCUCGUCAUACGUGUGUCAUCUUCCUUUUUCAUUUAGAAAAUUUCACAAUUUUCAUUAUGUUGAAACCACAAGAGAACAUGCAUCUGCCUUCGCCUUUUUUCUGCUGUACAAAAAGAGAACUCUGACCCGUUUCAUUCCUCUCACUGUUUUGUUUUGAGACAGGGUCUCUUGAUUUAGCCCGAGUUGUCCUGAAAUUCUCUGUGCCGACAAGGCCGGCUUUGACUUGGGUCCGGUACUAGAGCAACAGUGACUCUUGGCCACUGAUGUGCAUUUCUAGCUUCAGAACCCAUGACUUUUUAUGAUUCUUCAGUGUGAUCCCCACAAUGGCCUCGGGGACCUAUAUCGAGACCAUUCUCACGAUGUGACUUCCGUUAACCAUAAAGCAGCCACUGUGUUUUACAAUCUGCUUCCUUUCGUCCUCCCUUCCCCCUUCAGAGAGCCACUUUAGCACCAUAACUAGAAGGACAGGAACAAUCAGAGCCCCAUCAAAUCCAGCAGAUAAUGAGGUGUGGGAAGUGAGGAGGCCAGACUCACCUGAGAAGGGACACAAGGAGGGACUCGUUAGGACUCCAUCUGGGACAGGGUCAAAAGGAGCCGUGUAGAAUUUUUAGCUGCACAUAUGAAAAGUUAGCAAAGGCACCCAUGUGAAUGUUAGAUUUAAUUCAACAGAAUCCCAUCUGGUUGGUCACUGUGCCUUACGUGAAAGCCAUGCGUUUCCACUUCCCUAUUGCUUUGGGUGACGAUGGCUGCCAGAAUCCAGGUACAGGAGUCAGAAGGGGUGAGCUGAACUUGACUUAAGCCCCAGCCUAUCCCCAUAGCUCCCAGGUUAAACAUGAGCCAUUCAUAGUCGAGCAGAGUUGGGCAACCUGAGGCCUAAGGAGAAGUCUUCAACGAAGAUAUUCAGACGUUUUCUUGAAAUUCUCUAAGUUUUUGAAGAUCUCGGGAGAGUUUGUGUAUGUGGGUCACAUCUAUAAAUACUUCUCAUCUGAGAACUUAGAACUAAAAACUGAUAUUAAUCUGAGGAAAAUAAAAAGCCAUAUGCAUUUACAUAUGUGGUGGGUUUUUAUGAGAAAUAACUGUGCUUAUAAGGUGAAAACAUAAUUUAGAGUAAUGAAUGACAUUAUUUUAUAGUUUUCUGUAAUGUCUGGCUUCAAUAGAAUGCGUCUGGAUUCUGUGUGUGUGUGUGUGUGUGUGUGUGUGUGUGUGUGUGUGUGAUUGCAUGCAUGUCUGUGUGUGUAUGUUCGUGUGUGUGUGUGUGUGUGUGUGUGUGUGUUACUGUGAGACAGACCUAGGAAUCACUUUGUAGACCACACUUUACUAGACAGACCAGACUGGCCUCAAAUUCACAGAGAUCUGUCUACCUGCCUCUACCUCCCCACCCACGACCCCUAUGCUGGGACUACAGAUGUGUGUUACCACUCCUCCUGGAUUUUUAAUAUCUGCAUCUGGACUGAGCAAUUAUAAGUUCCUGAGGUUCAGUACAACAUGCGGAGAAAAUCCAGAGUCAUGCAAAUAUGUAGGAGAAAAGGGCAAAGAACUCAAUGUGCUUUUUUUCUUUAGUAUUUUCUUAUUUAUUUAUUUACUCCCUUUUUGUCCAAAUUGCUGCCAGUUUCCCUGCUCCCUUACAUAAUCUCUCCCUCUAUCUCGCCCCUUCUCCUCAGAGAGGGUGGAGCCCCCAGGGUAUCCAUCCCCACUCCCCACCCCCCACACCUAGCUGGCACAUCUAGCCUCUUUGGGGCUGGAUUCAUUCUCUUCCACUGAGGCUAGUAAGGUAGCCCAGCCAGGGAAACAGGAUUCACAGGCAGGCAACAGCUUUAGGGACAGCCCCUGCUCCAGUUGUUUGGAGCCAACGUGACCAAGCUGCAUAUCCGCUACACAUGUGUGGGGACGUAGGGCCAGAUGUGCAUGCUCCCUGGUUGGCGGUUCAGACCCUGAGAGCUCCAAGGGUCCAGGAUAGUUGACUCUGUUCAUGGUCCUUUGGAGUCCGUGACCUCUUCAGUCCUUCCUCCAGCUCUUCCAGUGGACUCUCCUAUUCUUUGAAUGGAUCAUUCACAGUUUGCUAGCGUUGUGCACUGGUCACUUGGAAACACUGAUACCCCAACCAAUACACAAUGUAAUAUAUUACAGAAUCACCCCGAUUCCUGUUGCCACCUAUCUCAUUGAACAAAGCGUUCAGUAAGUCAUACAGGGGGGCACCACCUGUAAUCCCAGCACUGUGGAGGCAGAGGUGGGGAGAAUGCCAAAAGUUUGAGGAUAAUCCUGUUCUGUAUUGCAAGUUCCAGGGUACUCAGGGUUACAACAGCAAGAUCUCUUGUCCAAAAACAAAUAAGCAAAUAAAUGAUGAGUAAAACAAUGAUUUAUAAAACCACCUAGAUAUUGAAAAGCUGCUCAUAUCACAGCCACCAGCAACUUUUCAGAAAACUGUCUUAAAUUCCAAGUUUCGUUACUGGCAGCAGAUAUGAUCAAGGGAGGCUGCAGGGAUAGUUCAGUGGCGCAAAGCACUAGUGCCUGUGUGGCAGCAUUCCUCUUGGAGGCUCUGCGGGGGAGUUAUUUCUCUCCUUUUGCCAUAUACAUUCUUUGGCUUAUGACUACUUCGUUCAUCUUCAAAACCAUGGAUAUGCCAGUGUUUCCUCUUUCAGUUUGUCUAUUUUUCCGUAUCUGUGGCCCAGGCUCAUUUGAAAUUUGUUAUAUAAUUCAGGCUGCCCUCCAAGUCCUCUUCCUCCUGAGUCUGCCUAUCAGAUUCUGGGUUCAUAGGUGGUCACCACCACACUUGAUUCUCGUGGAUCUUCUGUGCAUACAGUCCUGUCACCUACAGACCGUUUUCAGUAUCCUUUCCUCAUUCUUGCUAGUACUGCUUGACUGCAUUGAAUAGAAUUGGUAGAUUGGACACGGUUGUCUUGUUCCUCAGGUUAGAAGGAAAUCUUUCAGUGUUUCCCCCUUGACUAUGUACCCUGGUGCCUCAUCCUGUGUCGUCUUCAUUCCGUUGGGUGACAUCGCUUUCAUCUUCGUUACUUUUCUAGUUGCUGUAAGAAAGCGCCAGGAUGGAAGCCGCUUAAGGGAGAGUUAUUUUUGCCCAGUUUGAGUGAUGAUGGCAUACACUCAGCUCACUCCAUCACCUGUGUACAGGCUAGGAUCUCAGACCGAAGAACCAUGUCAUCUGCCGUAGGUGCUUCUUUUCAACACAGUUUACCGAGUCAAGAUGAUCUCCUACCAUAUUGCUGGAGGCCUCUCUCUCAGGAGGUUCUAGAACUCAUUGAGUUGACAACUCGCGCUAACCACUCCAGCUUCUAUGGCUGAUAUGUGGAAUUAUCAUCAAAAAGAUGUUAAAUUUUGUCAAUUUCUCUUUCUAUACCUACUGACAUGAUCACAUGGUUUUUAUGCUUCAUACUUGUAAUGUUUAAUGAUUUAAUUUAUGUUGAGCAAUCCUGUGUCCCGGGCAUAAAUCCAGUUUUGAUUAUAGGGUGCAAUCUUUUAAAUAUGCUGUUCAUUUUCAUUGCUAAUGUAAUGUUUCCUUGAUUUUUGCCUCUAUUCAUGUAGUUUUGCUUGUUUUUGGCAUUCUCCUCUGGCUUCGCGUGAGGGUCAUGCUGUUCUCAUGAAGUGAAUUUGGAAUUCUUUCCUCCUCUUCAGAACUGCAAGGAUUUGAGAAGGAUUAGCUUUAACUUUUCUUUGAAUUCAUUUUUAUAACCUUCUCUUACCUGGAUAUUUCUUUGUUUGGAGGAUGUUAAUUAUUCUAAUUAUCAUCCAUCCAUUUAUAUUUUGAUUUUUCAUAAUCACCUUAAUAGUUUGUGUGCUUCUAGAACUCUAUCCAUUUCCUCUAGCGUGUCUGAUUUGUAGGAAUACAUUGUCCAUUGUAGUUUCCUUUGUACCUAUUUAGUUGCAAUGCCUCCUCUCCCAUUUAUAAUUUUGAGUCAUUAGAACAAGUUUUCAAUCUUGUUUUCUUUUCUCAAAAAGCCAACUCCAGAUUUCCUUUCUUUCCUCUCCUCCCCCUUGUUUUUCCCCAUUUGUUCUGAGGAAAAACCUAGGACCUCUAAGUAAAUGCAUGCUUGCUUCUGAGCUACGCCACCAGCCCACAAGAACCUUAGCUCCAUUAAAGCUUCCUGAUGGUUUUCUUGUCUAGAAUUCUUUGUCCUCCCUCCUUUCUACAGAUCCUAUUCCUAUGCCACUUCUUCCUCUUCCUCCCUCUUUUGAGACUGAAUCUUACUAUCUUGGCAAGCAGUCCUAGCUGGAUCUCAAAUGCCAGGUCCUCCCACCUCAGCUUCCUGGAUCGUGGCCAUGCACCAGGUGGCCUGCUCUUUCCAGCUUCGUAACAACUUUUCCUCUUAUGGGCCGUGUUUCUGUUGCGAAUAUCUGAACUCUUUACUAAGCACUCAAUUCUGAAACACUUCCUUUUGAAAAUUUAAUGGUUUAAUAUUUAAGCAAAUAGAACCUAUCAAUUUGUAGUUAGUUUUAUAUAAAAUGAAACCCAUUGCUUUUUGUUUUGGAAGUUUAAUUAUUCCAGCACCUUUUGCUGAAAAGAUUUCUUUCUCCCUUGAGUUGCUUUGCAUAUGUAUAACAAAAACCUCUUGAGCAGAUCUGAGGUCUUUUGACCUCUUCAUUCUGUUCUGUUGUCUGUAUCUAUCUGUCUGCCACAUCUUUGAUAAAUGUUAACUAUGAAAUAUUAGGUAGAGUGAUUCAUCCCACUUUAUUCUUUUUAAGGUUUAAAAAAGACAAUCUCAGGUUCUGCCUUCCCCAAAAAGUUUAGAUCAAAUUUGACUAUUUCUGGAAAGAAACAAUCAGUGGGACUUCUAUAGGCUUUCACUGAACAUAGAGAGUGUGGGAGCUGAUGUUGCCAGUGUGGUGUGUUUUCUGGUGUGUGUCUUUAUUUGGAUCUUCUUGGUUUUAUACCUUUAGGUUUACUUUAUGUUUAUAGUAAUUUCCCUUACCUCUGCUUUAAAUACUUUGCUUUCUGAGACACUGCUGAAAUGAGUUCAGUAGCAUCAACAUGUAAUAGUGAUGACAAGGCAGUAUCCAAUCCAUCACUUACAAAAUGCCACAGUAGUUCUCCUUUACUCUUAACCUGGGCCCCAUGUGACCCCACUGCUCACGUUGGAGUGACACGCAGGAAGCACAGAGACAGAGACAGGAAGUGGAUAGUAAACCUUACAUGUCACCUUCCAGUGACGUAUUCCCAACAAUUGGCCUGUAGGGUCAUUUCACGUUUGACUACAACACCCAUUUGUUUGUUGUUCUGUGACGGUGCAAGUGAGUUGUUUGGAAAUCCUUGUUGUUUUUUCUUUUCAUUUCUUUCUCUUUUUGUUUUUGUUGUUGUUUCUUUAAUGCAGGGUUUCUCUUGGCUGUCCUGGAACUCACUCUGUGGACCAGGCUGUUUUCAAGUUCAGAGAUCCUCUUGCCUCUGUUCCUCGGGGUGCUGUGAUUAAAAGAGUGCAUCGCCAUAGAUCACAUGAAACUCGAGAAGGAUGACCAAAAUGCGGAUGCUCCACUCCUUCUUUAAAAGGGGAACAAAAGUACCCUUAGAAGGGGGUAGGAAGGCAAGGUUUAGAGCAGAGUCUGAAGGAACGGCCAUUCAGAGCCUACAUGUGGCUCCACAUGUGGCCCAUACAAAUACAGCCACCAAACUAGAUAAGAUGGAUGAAGCAAAGAAGUGCAGGCUGACAGGAACCGGAUAUAUAUUUUUUCCAAAAUGUUUUCUGCUGAGUGUUUAGAAACUAGCUUUUUAGAUCUUUGAUCCACUUUUAGUUGAUUUUAAUGUAUGGUAUAGCAUGAUGGUCAAAUUUGCUUCUUUAACCACUUUCAGUUUGUAAAGCAGUUCUCUGUACAUCACAUAAAUGCUAGCUUAUAAAACAGUUCUCUGCACAUUACAGACAACACCAGCUCAUUCAUCUCUGGGCAUCACAAUCUGCUGUUCAGUUCUUGCACUAACAGUGGAGGAAACCGUAGCUCAAAGGUCUCGGGGAUCGUCUAGAAUUCCCUCUCCAUGUGUGCAGCAGCUCAUGUUUUAGCUCUGGUCAAGUGGUGAGAUGUGGGUCUCUCGGUCCCCAACCUAUGAAGAAUGGUUAGACUCUCCCUCACUUAAACCUGUUCCAUCUCUUUGCCAUCUUUUUCCGGGUAGUCAUGAGGUUGUAUAGGAGCUUUAAAAAGUAAGAACGAUGGUCUAUUCAUGGUGUGACUUCCUUAAACUAUGAUGUAGGUAUGCAUUUUAUUAUUUUUUUUUGCUGUUUUCCCUCCUACUGUCAGAGAGGGGACCACAUCACCACUACAACGAGACGGCCAGGAACAACUAGAGCACCGUCAAAUCCUAUGGGUAAGACAAGCUCUCAGAGGAAAAAAGGAAGGAAGGAUUUUCCACAUAAGCUACCUGUUUCAGUGGGUAUCCUAGUUUGUGUUUCUACGGUGAUAAUUAAACACCAUGAUCAAAACCAACAUAGAAAAGAAAGGGUUUAUUUUAUUUGGCUUAUGACCACCAGUGUAGGGAUGGUACCUUCCACGGUGUACCGUGUCCUUCCCCACUGAUCGAUCACUGAGAAAAUGCCUAACAGCCUGAGCUUAUGGAGGCCUUUUCCUAAACACGGUUCCCUCUUUGUAGAUGGCUCUAGCUCAUGCCGACAUAAAAACUACCCAGUAGGAGUUGGGGAUUUAGCUUAGUGGUAGAGCGCUUGCCUAGCAAGCCCAAGGCCCUGGGUUUGGUCCCCAGCUCCGGAAAAAAAAAUUACCCAGUACAGCAGCGAUUAUCUCUUUUGUUCUGUGGUCCCCACAACUUGAUGGGUUUGACUUGGAAGAUGCCUUGGAUGAUCAGAAUGAUCUGGAUGGCCCCAAAAAGCCAAGUACAGGAGAAGGAGGAGGUAAGUUCUAGAUACUCAACAUUACAGGCCAGUGCUAUAGUUCCUGGUAUGGUUUGUCUUAUACCUGCAAUGGCGUUCUGAGACGUCCAGAGUACUGUAGAUCUGGGCCAGAUCUGGGCCAUGUUGAGCUGUAGGAGAAUCCCACAACAGUAGUAGUGAUAUAUUUUGGUCUUGGGAUUCUCCGAAUUACUGGGAAUCUCAAUAACUAUUGUCUGUGUGUGUCAUAUCUACCUCUGUUUAUCAUCUAUAUAUUUAAUUUUUUUUAAAAAUUCAGUAUUGUUCGUAUAAAAUGAUAAUACUAAACCAAUACAUAUUAACAUAAAUAGCACAUUGUAUGAGUCUGUGUCGAGAGAAAAACAAUUUGUCAGAGAGUGGCAUUAUUAUAUACUUCUUAGAAAUUUCUAGAAUGUCAAUCUUGCUAGGAGAUACCUGGAUUCUCAUAUUGAGAUAUGCAGCUUGAAAGCCGUCCUCUGACCUACACACACACACACACACACACACACACACACACACACACACACACUUAAAUACAAUUAAAUUCAAAAGGGUUUAAAACAGACAUAUAAAUGAAUAAGACAUUUUAAAAAGUGUUUAGUACCUUUCCUCACAUAGUUCUCCUCUCAUUACUGUUCUGGUUUCCCUGACCAAGUACCUAGCAAGCAAAGAGAAGAGGAAAGAUUCUUUCAGUUUAUCAUUUUAGAAGUGAUGAGGCCCUGAUAUCACUCUGCUGCUCGAGUUGUAUCCACACACAGGAAGCAGAGAGACAGAGACAGGAAGUGGGCUAGUAAAACCCAGAUGUCACCUUCCAGUGAUGUAUUUCCAAAAGCAGGCCUCAAGAGUCCCAGCACAUGAGCCUAUAGGGACAUUUCACGUUUGAACUACAACACCCGUUCAAUGGACUUGUGCCCAUUUGUAGUUUUCUAGCAUUGCAGGUUAGUCUUUGGAAAACCUUGUUCUCGUAUGGUUUAUAAAAGUUCAGUGUAAUGCUGCCUGCUACAAUAAAAAAAAAAAAAAUCUAACUUGCUGCUAACACCACCCAUACCACUGGAAAAGACUCACGGUAGCUUACAAAGGCUUCACCCGAAAUCUUGUCGACAAGCACCAUCAGUGGCUGUCCUGGACUGAUGGAUUCAUUUCAUUCAGUUUUAAGAAAUGCUUCCCAAGUCAUCCAGUUGGUAUGACAUUCAUUCUGCCUGGCAAAAGUGGUCUCAUGACACAAAGCAGACAAAGUCAAGUACGAAAAGGAACAAUGACGCCAGGGGCUUAUCAAAUCACCCCUCUGUCCUCUGGAAUAGAGCGGGACGGCUUUAAGCACACUUUGCACACAGAGCAUAGGACAUUCAGGAAGAUGUGCACUUAAUCACUGAACUAUGGUUAAUAAUGAUUCUGCUUCUUGUAUUAGUCAUCUGUGAUUGUGUUGCAGAUCGUGAGAAAGUUGAGACUUAUUUUUGCAGAAAGGCAUUAAUCUCCUUGGUUCAGUUAAGAAGCAGAGUCUUCUAUAGAGUCAGAGCCUCAGAGAGCUGCCAUCGAGGCAGGGGGAUGGCGUCUCAUCUGAACUUAAUUAUAGGAUUGUAUUUCUUCUCUCUGUGGUCACACAAACACUCAAGAUGAUUGGCCGUUCUACAGAACAUAUACGUCGGCAAUGAGCUGUCUGAGGGGCCGGUUGAAAUUUUGCCUACCCCCUUUCUUCCUUGUUCAUUUCCCUCAACCUCCUUCCCUUCCUUCUCUUUCUCCCCCUCCCCAUCGAUCCUUAGUAUGAGCACAAGGUGUGGUUCUGAGACAUCUGCUGUGUCACUGAACCACACUCUCAGUUCCAUGAAGAACACUCACGUGUCAUGGACAACUUUGAAUAAUCCAAAUGUUUGCUGCUGAGAUUUUUUUUCUUUUGGCCACUGAAAUAUGUGGUUUUUCUGUAGGUUGGUCAGACAAGGAUCUCGAAGAUAUCUUGGGAGGCGGGGGAUACAAACCUGACAAGAAUAAAUGUAGGAAUGUUGCUUUGUUUGGCAACACAUGGAUUCUCCUUAAAAUGCUAACCAUCCGGCCACCAGGUAAACAUGUCACUCUCAGCCUCUGGCAAAUCAGGCUUCGACAUGUGCACCUGUCAUGUGCAGUGGGCUCUCAUUCUUGUGGGUGGGGGCUCAUUUGUGAGCCAUCCUGGGAUGCUACCCAUUUGCUCUGUUGCUCUUUAAGCCUGAGCUGGUGUCCCCACUACCUAGGUGCACCUCAUAAGCCAGUUUUCCAUGCAGUGUGAGGAUUCAAACUUAACAUGGCACACAUUUUAAAGAAGCCCCUAGCAAAUCAGAUGUUUACAAAAUUCCUUUGGAUUCCAGUUCCCCUUCCCAGGAAGAUUCACACUUCCCUCCUAUUGCAUCCCAGGAAGUGGAAACUGUCCUUGGGGUGUAGCGUGUGAUCGAAGAUACUAUUUUCAAUUAAAAAGACAAGAAGUUGGGGGAGGGGAAGGAGAGGGAAUGGGCGCUGAUGGACAGGAAGGCGGGAAGCUGAAUAAUAUCUGAAAUGUAAGUAAAGAAAUAUAUCUAAUAAAAAAUUUAAAAAAAGAAAAAUUAAUACAAAAAGCAAUUUAUAAAAAUAUUAUCGGGGGCUGGAGAGAUGGCUCAGUGGUUAAGAGCACCUGACUGCUCUUCCAGAGGUCAUGAGUUCAAUUCCCAGCAACCACAUGGUGGCUGACAACCAUCUGUAAAGAGAUUUGAUGCCCUCUUCUGGUGUAUCUGAAGACAGCUACAGUGUACUCACAUAGAUAAAAUAAAUAAAAUCUUUAAAAAAAAAUUAUCUAAUGAAAAAUUAAAAAAAAAAAAAAAGAAAGACAAAAAGUCCCACAUCGUCCCUUGCUGGGUCCGAGCCCCGGGUCCUGUUUAUCAGCUGAUAGAAUCCAUUCUUACCUUAAAGAUCAUGGGAGCUUUGCUACUUUGCAACAGAAUUUCAAGGUAGCAAUCCCUGAGGUUUAACUGUGUUUAAAUGUGUAGGAAAAUUAAACCACAGGAUCAGACUGUCUAGAGGUUUCAAUCCAGUCUGACACACAAAACAAAACACAAAACAAAAACAAACAACUGGAAAAAAAAGCCCUUAAUAUUAGAAAAAUAAUGUAGCACUGGUUCAGGAAAACUACGGAAUCUUCAUCCAGCUUCACCCAAGGAGCCUCCAUUGUAGGACCAUAGAGCUGGUUGUUCUAAAUCGGAAGUUGUUAUCUGUGAAAUAAAGUCACCUAUUGAAGUUGUUAUCUGUGAAAUAAAGUCACCUAUUGACAUUUUGGAAAUUAUGUUAGAUCUCAUUUUGUGUGUGUGUGUGCGUGUGUGUGUGAGUGUGUGUGUGUCUAUGUCUGUGUGUGUCUGUGUGUGUCUAUGUCUGUGUGUGUGUGCCUAUGUGUGUGUGUGUAUGUCUGUGUGCCUGUGUGUGUUUGUGCCUGUGUGUGCAUCUAUGUGUAUGUGUGCCUGUGUGUGCAUGUGUGCCUGUGUGUGUAUGUGUGUCUUUGUCUCUGUGUGUGUGUGUAUGAAAUUUUAUCACAUGUGUAGAUUUCAAUAGCCCUUAACACAACCAGGGAGAGAUUAUCAUAAAAUCUCUUCUGCAUGCUGCCCCUUGAACAGUCAUGUCCUUCCCAAGCCUCAUGUUUGCAGUUUCCACAGCUGUUCAUGGCUGAAACCUUUCUUCACACAUCUGUCAGAUGGGAUCUUAAGCUUGGAUGGGGUGAGGUGUCUGAGUCUUGUGUGGUGAAGUACGUUCCUGUUGGAACCCAUAGGUGUCACAUGCCACAGUUGUGACCUUUCACAUAAUCACUUUUGACAAGAUGUUGGAAUGUUGUGGUGUUUGAAACCCUUUGUUUAUUAUUCAUGUUAUGAUGGAGAAAUUGUAGCAGGGUCCGAAGAAUUCAAGCUUUGAGUCCAUCAAGACCCCUCUUUCCGAGUCCAGGCUGAAGUUGAGCAUUUGCUUCGUUCUUGCAAGCACUAUGCCUUGCAUAUGGGAACAGUGUUCUGUUGCUUAAAAUACCCCGCAGUCAUGUUUGUCCCCAGAAAGACCUUUCCAGAUGGUGUCAUCUCAAGGAAAAAGCUGUAAAAGCCUCUAAGUUAAACUUCCAGGGGUCAGGAGGACACGGAGCAUUUAAAGGGUGACAAUUGGUAUUUCCAGACAGGGAGAGAAGGGCAGUGGUUACCUCUGUAAGCGUGCACGGGAACGAAAGCCUGAGUGACAGGCCGGGGGUUUCAAUUCAUUAAAUGUACUGGUUUUAGAAAGGAAGAGGUGUCCGGAAAUUCUUUAAUUGAGCUCACGUUGGAGCUCAUCUUGUAAAGAAUAAUUAAUUGUUGGCUACGGUUACUCCCUCCAUCACCCAUCACUGUAGGUGUCAGAAAAGAAGAUCAAAGGGGACACGGGAACAUGGGUGACAUUCACAGACACC